UGGCUGGGGAGGCACGAGCGUGGCUGUCAGCAGAGUUCCCUUGUCAGCGCCGGCCCCAGCCUCCCCGCUUAAAGAUCGCCUCAGGCGCUCUCUUAAAGACGAGAACGCUGCUGCUGACAUUUGGGAGAUCCUGGCAGCCGAUCAAAACCAAGCUGAAAAUCGGAGCUGCGGGGAGGGGCGGGCACCAGGCAGCCGGGACCCGACUGCCUGGGCCUGCCAGGGCCAAGGGCGCCAGAGCUAGGGCAAGUCCUGGCUGAGGCAAUACCUGCAGACUGGCCCUGACCGUCUGGGUGAUCCAUUCCUUUAGAAGAGGACAGAGCUAGAGCUAAGGAGGAGGCGCGCGGAGUCAACAGGUCUCGGCAAAUAAUCAUGCCUCAGCCAAAAUCCCAGCCCAGAGCGAAGAAUUAUGCUCCACACAAAGGGAAGGAAGUCCUGGUGUGAGCCACACAUGUCCAGCAUCACCUGUACCUGUGGCCGCCAUCAUACUUUGUUCUGACCACCACUGCUCCCUGCUUAGCCUCUGGACUUGGAUUGUGUGGCAGACAUUCCCCUGCCCUUCCCAAGCCUCCAGGCCUGAAGCCCUACAGACCACACACAUGGAGGAGUCCUUCUGAAAUCUAGCUUCACAGCAAUGCCCUGCCCCCUGGAUAGGGUCCUACACAUCCCAUCUUGGCCUGUGCAGCUUUUCCAAGUUGGCCAGUGGUUGACGUCUCUGGGCUCCUGUAAGGAAGGGUCCAUCAAGUUCAUGGCUUUCCAUAGUAAAUCCACAUAGUCCCAGAUGAAUUGCCGGGCUAUCUUGGCCUCUCUAGGCUUUUGCCUAGAAAAUUCCAGAGUCAUCAACUCCCCCUGCUCACCCCUACCCCAACGCUACUUAGACCCUCAUACCAUCAGGUCCCCAGAAGCCAGUUGAAAUCAUCAUCAGGUGUCCCCCCACCCCCACCCCCGGGGUAGGGGCUGGAUAUCACUACAGCUACAAAAAUAUUCUAGCUUCCCACCCCCAGACCUUCUCUGCCUAGAUCUGGCCACUUCUAUUGGGUAUUUGUGCAUUAAACCAAAGCCAGCUGCUUGGCUUCUUUUUCUGCCUA